rnacentral:rRNA from 1 species
UACGUAGGGGGCAAGCGUUGUCCGGAAUCAUUGGGCGUAAAGAGCGUGUAGGCGGCUCGAUAAGUCUGCUGUGAAAGUCCAGGGCUCAACCCUGGAAGGCCGGUGGAAACUGUCGGGCUAGAGUCCGGAAGAGGCGAGUGGAAUUCCCGGUGUAGCGGUGAAAUGCGCAGAUAUUGGGAAGAACACCGGUGGCGAAGGCGGCUCUCUGGACCGAGACUGACGCUGAGGCGCGAAAGCGUGGGGAGCAAACAGG